CAGCUCCACUACUUACAGCGGAGUGACCUUAGGACAACUUAUUGUACAUUUGUCUCAGUUUCCAACAUCCCUAGAAUAGGGAUGAUAAGUCUUGUACAGAGGUUUCUGACGUGAGACAGUGAAUCAAAGUUCAUGGCACAGUGGCUGGCACACAGAUGGAAUUUCUUACUCUUGUUGGCCAGGAUGGAGUGCAAAUGGCAUGAUCUCGGCUCACCUCAACUUCUGCCUCCUGGGUUCAAGCGAUUCUCCUGCCUCAGUCUCCCGAGUAACUGGGAUUACAGGUGUGCACCACCAUGCCAGGCUAAUCUUGUACUUUUAGUAUAGAUGGGGUUUCUCCACGUUGAUCAGGCUGGUCUUGAACUCCCAAUCUCAGGUGAUCCAUCUGCCUUGGCCUCCCAAAGUUCUGGGAUUACAGGUGUGAGCCACUGUGCCUAGCCAAAAAAAAAAAAAAAAAAAAAAAAAAGCGUUUUAAAUUUAGUUGUAUCAGGUUUUGAAAACUAUUAUCAACAACUAAUUCCUCAAGUGAGUAUUUGGAAGGAAAAUUCAUCAAGUGA
ensembl:lncRNA